AGGGGCAGAGUGAGGAGGGAGAGCCAUGAGCAGCCAUGCCCCAAGCCUGCACUCAGGCCCAGCCCAGGUUCCCUGCUGGCUGCAGUGGGCACACAGUAGGCUGGUCACAGGCGGUGUCAGUGUCUGGUUCUGUAUUUGCCACAGAAGUCAAGAUGCCUCCUGGGUCCUGGUGUGACUCACUGUGGGAGCAGAGCUGCAUCCAGGACCCUUAUGGAUAAUGUCAUAGAUCACCACAAACUGGGCUGCUUAAUACAAUGCACUCUUACAAUUCUGGAGGGCAAAAGCCC
rnacentral:lncRNA from 1 species